AAUUUUAUAGUUAAAUAUAUAACAUUAAAUUGCAAAUUUAAAAUUAUAAAAAUUAUUAAAAUUU
rnacentral:tRNA from 1 species